UUUCUCUUUCAACGGUCAUUUACUUUACGUGCUUAUGCACGGUAAAGUGCACUUUACAUCACUGUUUGCGACAGGGAAAAUACACUUACCGUCCACAAACAUGUAAAAUGUGUUACGUCACUGCUUGUAAAUGCUUGUUUAGGCACGUGUGAUUACUCCACUCGCCUUCGGCUCGUUCAGCAAACCUCACACUUGCCUAAACAAAUAUUUAC